rnacentral:lncRNA from 1 species
GGCUGAGCAAAAUACUUCAUCUUUGGUCGUGUUUGAGCCCCAGAGUUUGGGAUUUGUAAGCAGUGCCUUGGGGCUAUAUUUGCGUUUCCUGGAUGCCUUUUCUUUUUUUCUUUCUUUCUUUCUUUUUUUUUUUCUGUGAAUCUUGUUGGCAUUUGGAAAGAAAGAAUUUCAGCAACAUUCCAGUGGAUCCCACGGCCUGCCUCCUCGUUCCUGGGACUCCCUGUACCACCGGCACCCCAAGAUGAAGAAGGUUUUGGAGGACAAAGCCUCAAAGCCCAGGUCAGGCCCUGUGGUCAUCUGUCCACGCAUGUCAUUUUGGAGAAACACAUUUAUGUAAAGGCUCCAAUUUCUGUUGCUUCUUUUCUGGCUACUUUUGGUCAGACUGAGACCCGGUGACCAUUCCUUUCCAAGGGCGUGACACUGCUCCGUGCACCGGUGGUGUGGCCCACAACCAAGGUCCUGGACCCCCACUCAAAGGCCCAGAGUCUCAAGGAAUCUCAUGCCCUGGGCUCCUCCCUCCCUCUUCCCUUUUGCAUUCCUUAGGGGCACUCAUGUCCUGUCCGGGUUUUCCAGGACACAUGGCUAAACCCCAUCCAACCAUUAUUUGUCCUUUAUAAACAAAUCUAGUGGUGAGAUUGUCUUCCAGAUCAUUCCAGCUUCUAUCCUCCUGCAAUCUCUUCCUCUUUCUCUCUCCCCACAGUCCAGACAAGCAAGCACAGAACUGAACUUACUAGAAGGGGGAAAGGAAAGUGAAUACAUAGGGAGAAACUCAGGCAUUAAAAUCGCAGAAAAUGGUCCUACAUGCUAUUGGUCAUGUC